AGGGCUGGGACACGGCCAACAAAAGGAGAAAUUAAAUGGGCUGUCCUGGGAGCCCAUAGUUAGCAUUUAAACACCAGCAUGAGCUGUGGGUUUCACUGAGCAGGGCUGUGUGCGGCCUCAAUGCCCUCCUCUCCCGGCCCCCGUUCUGUUUGUGAGCACAAGCUGGGAGGACUCUCAGCAGAGCCCUAAGAGGUGAUGUUGUCAUGCCGAAGCCCAGGAUUCAGGGGCUUUCAUGCAGUGCAAGGACAAACAUGGCGAACACCACAUGCACCCAGCUGCAACAGCGCUGCACCCCUGACCUACUCACAGCCCUCAAGGAACUCACCGACCAGCCUAGCCUUACAGCGGCCAUCACAGACACACUGAUUCUUCUGCCUGGAAUGCCUGUCACUUCCUUGUCUGCCUGGCAAGCACCUGUUCAUCUUCCAAAACUCAGCUCAGUACUUUGUCCUGUGUGAGUUCUUCCUAUACCUCCUCCCCACACAGGUUCACCACUCUGCCUCUGUGACCUGUAUGUCUUCUCAUUAAAGGGCUUUUAGAAUUU